AAAAUGUAGAUAAAAGUUUUUUUACAUGUUUUCAAAUGUAAAACAAAAAAGAAGAUCUACAUUUUUUUACAUACUUUCAGAUGUUGAAAAAACGUAUAUAUACGUUUGGACCAUUUAAGGGUUAAGAGAUGACAGAAGCAGAGCUCUCUGGACAAAGUUUUUGUGUAACAGGGGUCCAGUGACUCUCAAGCUGAUCUUAGUGCCAGUAAAAGACAAAGAAGGAAAGUAACCUUGGAUAGGGCUUUAAUACCAGAAGUCCUUAUGGAGGGGGAUUCCCCUUCCAAACAAUAACCUCUCCUCCCUCUCUCCUCCUCGUCUUCUUCCAUAUGCCAACGAGAGUCUUCAAUAAAGGUAUGUAAUAAUGAUUUAAAUGUUCAUUUAUCCAUUAAAAUUAGUCAUUUAUAUUUAUUUCUCAUUGUUUUCUGUAUGUAAAAAGGAGUUAUUCUCUAUAAAAUGUAUUUUUUGUUAAUAUUUUUGAGUGUCUGGAACGGAUUAAUUGGAUUUACAUUAUUUCUUAUGGGAAAUAUUACUUCGAUUUUUGUCCAUUUUGGAUUUCAACCUACGUUCUGGAAUGGAUUAAGGAUGAAAACCAGGGUUCCACUGUACAUAUAGGCAUUUUGUUGUAACACUGACAAUUUGUAACUUGUUUACUCUUGCAUUAUGUGAUAAUUGGUAAGACUUUUUUUCCUUAGUAGUUAUAUUGUUUGUUAAGGCAUGUAAACCAUCAUGUAGUUUUAUGUUGCAGGUAACAGCAUUACUUCCAUGGCAGAGAUGGCCUCAAGAGAUAUUAUAAUAACCACAACAUUAAUUACUACUGGAAUUGCUGUAUUGACAUUAUUAUAUUGGGUAACUUUUAAACGCCAACCUCACAAGACUGUCAUGAGGCCUCGCAAGGCCACUGACAUCAUAUGCUGCACCCUCAACAUCCCCUACCCUCAACCUCCCCAACCAUCUCUGCUCCAAGUGUCUUGGAAUGACAGCUCGGGUCAUCUGCCAACCAAAGAAAUGUGUUGAAGGAGACGGACUGAAAAAAAUCCUGAGACAUCACUUUUUGAUCUACCUACCUGAUUAAUCAUAGUCAACCGCAGGCAACUACCCCUCAUCUUUGCAGUGGUGAAGAACCUGCGUUCCUAUCAUCUGGACAGACUAUUCAAGGCUAUAGACUCUGUGAAGAACUAGUCGUUGGGUUGUCACUCAACAUCCGUGACCCCUCCCCAUCAUCAGCAAUGGCUACAAUUUCUACAACACGCGGUGCCAACAACAUCGGACACCCCAGUCUAACUGUAUAUAUUAGCGUUGAAUUCAGAUAUUUUUAUAUUUCAUUUUUCUUUCAAGUAGGAUACAUAUUCAUGUUUCAAUGUUUUAUCUUUGCAUUACUAAAUAAUAAAGUGUUUAUCUUUGUGAA